rnacentral:rRNA from 1 species
CGGCGAGUUGGCGUUAGCGGCCUGGUUAAGGUCUUACGGACCGUAGCCUAAGGGAAACCGAGCCUAAAUAGGGCGUUUUGUCGCUGAUGUCAGACGCGAAACUGCGUGAUCUACCCAUGGGCAGGCUGAAGCGCGGGUUAUACUGCGUGGAGGGCCGAACUCGUCUGGGUUGAAAACCGGUGGGAUGACCUGUGGGGAGGAGUGAAAGUCUAAUCAAACGCAGAGAUAGCUCGUUCUCCUCGAAAUAGCUUGUGGGCUAGCCUUGGGCCACUACGUGUUGGGGGUAGAGAGACUGAAUUGGCAUUGGGGAUAUUCCAAUCUACCAAGCCUGACCAAACUCCGAAUACCGACACGACUAUCCCGGGAGUCAGUCUGCGAGGGAUAAGCUUCGCGGACGAGAGGGAAACAACCCAGAUCAUCAGCUAAGGUCCCAAAGUAGUACUCAGUCACAAAGGAAGUGAAGUUGCGGUGACAGCCAGGAUGUUGGCUUAGAAGCAGCCACCAUUUAAACAACGCGUAAUAGCGGACUGGUCGAGGGGUCCUGCGCCGAUAAUGAACGGGACUAAGCACGACACCGAAGCGGUGGGCACAGCAAUGUGCGGUAGGAGAGCGUUGCGGUUGCGGUGAAGGGGUACGGACAACGAACCCUGGAGCGGCCGCAAGUGACUAUGCCGGAAUGAGUAGACGAUAAAACGGGUGAGAAUCCCGUUCGCCGUAAGCCUAAGGGUUCCUGGGGAAGGUAAAUCCGCCCAGGGUUAGCCGGUGCCUUAGUCGAGGCCGAAAGGCGUAGACGAUGGACAGCAGGUCAACAUUCCUGCGCCAGCUAUGUGGACCGAUGGAGGGACAACGCCCGAAUGGUGAGCGGUACGAUUAGAAAUGUCCGUCACCCCUUGCGAGAUGUCCGGUAGGUAAAUCCGCCGGAGGAAUUCAAGCGUGGGGUGCGAGCGCGUUUAUGUUCGCGAAGUCAUCGGCAGGGCGUUCAAGAAAAGCUUCUAAGGGUUGAAGCAUAGCUGACCGUACUAAAACUGACACAGGUAGGCGAGACGAGUAGUCUCAGGCGCUCGGGAGAACGGUGGUUAAGGAACUCUGCAAAUUGAUCCCGUAAGUUCGCGAUAAGGGAAGCCUGUUUACAGGCCGCAGAAAAUCGGCUCUAGCAACUGUUUAUCAAAAACACAGGUCUCUGCUAACUCGUAAGAGGAUGUAUAGAGACUGACGCCUGCCCGGUGCCAGUAGGUUAAGGAAGAGGGUUAGUCGCAAGACGAAGCUCGCAACCGAAGCCCUGGUAAACGGCGGCCGUAACUAUGACGGUCCUAAGGUAGCGAAGUUCCUUGUCGGGUAAGUUCCGACGUGCAUGAAAGGCGUAAUGAGAGGAAGACUGUCUCAACCAGUAACCCGGUGAAAUUGUAGUCGUGGUGAAGAUGCCACGUUCCCGUAGUUAGACGGAAAGACCCCAUGAACCUUUACUAUAGCUUUGCGCUGGCACUUGUGUCGGCAUGUGCAGGAUAGGUGGUAGGCUUUGAAGCCGGGACGCCAGUCUCGGUGGAGCCGCAAGAUGAGAUACCACCCUUAUCGUCAUAGGUGUCUAACCGCGAUGUAACAGCAUCCGGGACAGCGCA